rnacentral:rRNA from 2 species
CUAUACAUGCAGUCGAACGAACUCUGGUAUUGAUUGGUGCUUGCAUCAUGAUUUACAUUUGAGUGAGUGGCGAACUGGUGAGUAACACGUGGGAAACCUGCCCAGAAGCGGGGGAUAACACCUGGAAACAGAUGCUAAUACCGCAUAACAACUUGGACCGCAUGGUCCGAGUUUGAAAGAUGGCUUCGGCUAUCACUUUUGGAUGGUCCCGCGGCGUAUUAGCUAGAUGGUGGGGUAACGGCUCACCAUGGCAAUGAUACGUAGCCGACCUGAGAGGGUAAUCGGCCACAUUGGGACUGAGACACGGCCCAAACUCCUACGGGAGGCAGCAGUAGGGAAUCUUCCACAAUGGACGAAAGUCUGAUGGAGCAACGCCGCGUGAGUGAAGAAGGGUUUCGGCUCGUAAAACUCUGUUGUUAAAGAAGAACAUAUCUGAGAGUAACUGUUCAGGUAUUGACGGUAUUUAACCAGAAAGCCACGGCUAACUACGUGCCAGCAGCCGCGGUAAUACGUAGGUGGCAAGCGUUGUCCGGAUUUAUUGGGCGUAAAGCGAGCGCAGGCGGUUUU